GACGAACGCUGGCGGCGUGCUUAACACAUGCAAGUCGAACGGAAAGGCCCUGCUUUUGUGGGGUGCUCGAGUGGCGAACGGGUGAGUAACACGUGAGUAACCUGCCCUUGACUUUGGGAUAACUUCAGGAAACUGGGGCUAAUACCGGAUAGGAGCUCCUGCUGCAUGGUGGGGGUUGGAAAGUUUCGGCGGUUGGGGAUGGACUCGCGGCUUAUCAGCUUGUUGGUGGGGUAGUGGCUUACCAAGGCUUUGACGGGUAGCCGGCCUGAGAGGGUGACCGGGACUGGGGGGACGGAGGAGACUAGGCGCCGGGUAGCGGGGGGAGGGGGGAGGGAGUGGGGACCGGGGGGGGGAGCCCGCCGCAGCGCCGCGGGGGGGGGGAGGUCGGCCUGCGGGGUGUACAGCGCUUUCGCCGAGGAGUAAGCGGGAGUGACAGUUAGGGGGAAGGAAGCAGCGGCGAGGUAGGUGGCAGCGUCCGGGGGAGUGUACGGAGAGAACACUUACGACC
rnacentral:rRNA from 1 species